GGAUAGGUGGGAGGCUUUGAAGCUGGAACGCUAGUUCCAGUGGAGCCGUCCUUGAAAUACCACCCUGGUAAUAUUGAGGUUCUAACUCUGUCCCGUUAUCCGGGACGAGGACCAUGUCUGGUGGGUAGUUUGACUGGGGCGGUCUCCUCCCAAAGAGUAACGGAGGAGUGCGAAGGUAACCUCAGCGCGGUCGGAAAUCGCGCAGUGAGUGCAUAGGCAUAAGGUUGCUUGACUGCAAGACAAACAAGUCGAGCAGGUACGAAAGUAGGUCUAAUUGAUCCGGUGGUUCUGUAUGGAAGGGCCAUCGCUCAACGGAUAAAAGGUAC
rnacentral:rRNA from 1 species